AUUUUUAUGGUGUAUAAACACACUACAUUUUCAUUGUAGAGCUAAAGGUUCAACCCUUUUUUAAAUA
rnacentral:tRNA from 1 species